GACAGAGGCCUCGAGCGUUAGGCGGAAUCACUGGGCUUAAAGCGUGUGUAGGCGGAUCGUUAAGUACCUUGUGAAAUCCCACGGCUCAACCGUGGAACGGCUGGGUAUACUGGCGGUCUUGGGCCAUUCAGGGGCGACUGGAACAAGCGGUGGAGCGGUGAAAUGCGUAGAUAUCGCUUGGAACGCCGAAGGUGAAAACAGGAUCGCUGGGGAUGUGCCGACGCUGAGACACGAAAGCCAGGGGAGCAAACGGG
rnacentral:rRNA from 1 species